rnacentral:rRNA from 1 species
AUUGAACGCUGGCGGCAGGCCUAACACAUGCAAGUCGAGCGGAUGAAGGGAGCUUGCUCCUGGAUUCAGCGGCGGACGGGUGAGUAAUGCCUAGGAAUCUGCCUGGUAGUGGGUGAUAACGUCCGGAAACGGGCGCUAAUACCGCAUACGUCCUGAGGGAGAAAGUGGGGAUCUUCGGACCUCACGCUAUCAGAUGAGCCUAGGUCGGAUUAGCUAGUUGGUGGGGUAAAGGCCUACCAAGGCGACGAUCCGUAACUGGUCUGAGAGGAUGAUCAGUCACACUGGAACUGAGACACGGUCCAGACUCCUACGGGAGGCAGCAGUGGGGAAUAUUGGACAAUGGGCGAAAGCCUGAUCCAGCCAUGCCGCGUGUGUGAAGAAGGUCUUCGGAUUGUAAAGCACUUUAAGUUGGGAGGAAGGGCAGUAAGUUAAUACCUUGCUGUUUUGACGUUACCAACAGAAUAAGCACCGGCUAACUUCGUG